ACAUAAAAAAAAACUAACCCGAAGAACACUCUGGAUUUGUUCUCAAAUAGGCCUCAGUUACCCAGCUUCCCUUUGCACCAAUUGCAGACACAAGUUUUGCCGUAGAACAUCUUUAAUAAACUUUUCAGUAAAGGUUCGGUAGGGUGUCCGACCCCAACUUUGGGCCUAGUUAAAAAAAAUGAAGCCGAACAACACCCUAGAUGUUUUAUCAAGUAGACAUCAGCUACUAAGCUUCCCUUUGCACCUAGUGCAGAC
rnacentral:lncRNA from 1 species